GAUAUCAAGCUUGGAACCUACGAGCACAUGCUAAGAAGCCGAGCGUCUUGUCCACUGGUCUAAACAUCGACGCUUGCAGAAGGACAAUAUAUCUGAAAGGAUGUGUUGUACCGCCGAUCGAAAACAAAUGCCAAAGGAGAACGGUUUCUAUGGAAACUUCGCGGAAACAUUAGAUGACGGUGCAAUUUAAGCUAUCUCUAAGACCACGUGUAGAGCCAACUUAGAGCCUUGUAGACAACAGGAAAACUCCUAUUUUGCCAAAAUGUACUGCCACACUCCACAUGCUCAUUGAUUUUCGGUCCUCCAUUGGUGGCGUUUCUUCAAUAACCUAAAUGCCAAAAGGAAAGACAGGAUGUCUAUCGUGGUUAGUUAAACCACUAUAUGCUUAUUCGUAACUUAAACAUUAUUAGAGGAGCAUUAUUCAACUGUGGCACUAUUUCACAAAUCUCAACCACAUGUCUGGCGCUCUCUUGUAGGUACUUUCGCGCCUGGAUCAUCCGCACCCUCCCUAAAGUUGGACUCGUUUAUCCACAUCGAAGGCGUAUGCAUCCAAAAAUUGUGGACGAUGGCGCAAAAGAGGAGGGCUAUGGCUUCAUUCAUCUGUUCUUCUUCAUGUACCUAGAUUCGAGAUACGUAUGGCAGCGGAGAAGCGACGACCCUGGCUAGUUGAUUUCCUGUUGUUUUUCCGCAAGAAGUGUAGAAAGCCUUGAAGGGGUGUUUUUUGCUUUUUUAUUAGAUAAGUAAACCUUGCUAUUUUGAUAUCACAAUUACCUACUAUUGCUCUGUGCAUUGCUACGCUCCAAAUCAUCAGUGCGCAAUCUUCGGGUGCUUCCCACUAGGCAGCCCCUUCUUCAGCGCCCAACCAGACGACAACGUAGCUCCGACGCUGACUUCGGGCGGGUCAACGAGCCCCGAACUCUGUAAGUGCGGUAACAACUACGAAGGCCAGGCUUGCCGGGUCGCUACAAGUUGACCGUCACGGAGAGCCCACUAUCUGAUGCAAGAGACAACGUCGAGGACAUCAAUCGCAACUGCGUCCAAUUCAGGUUCACCGAUUGUCACGUGAUUGCUUCGUAUCGCGCAAUAUUGGGGGGUGAAGUCCGGCUGAAUCGUGCUACGUCAUUGGUAGAUUUUAAGGAACGAUUCGGCGAAUAUGAUUGGCCGAGGCACACAUUGCCUCGUCUAGUAACCUAGGCAAGGCGACUGCUUUAAAAGCGGACACCUUUGGUGCAGCGAUUGCGUCCCCACGUUUGCUGAUGACAUGUGUGGGUACUCAGGCAUGCUGUGAGCUCCUACGUGUAGUGGGCGCCUAUAUCUCGAUCCAGUGUAAACAUGUAAAAUAAAUAUUUAUUUUUUUCGCUCC